AUUGAACGCUAGCGGCAUGCUUUACACAUGCAAGUCGAACGAGAGGCGGACGGGUUAGUAAUAUAUCGGAACGUGCCCAGUAGCGGGGGAUAACUACUCGAAACAGUGGCUAAUACCGCAUACAAUCGGAUCGGCCGAUAUCGAAUUAGCUAGUUGGUGGGGUAAAGGCUAACCAAGGACACGAUCCGUACCUGGUUUGAGAGGACGACCAGCCACACUGGAACUGAGACACGUCCCAGACGCCUACGGGAGGCAGCAGUGGGGAAUAUUGGACAAUGGGGGAAAGCCUGAUCCAGCCAUGCCGCGUGUAUGAGAAGGCCUUCGGGUUGUAAAGUACUUUUGGCAGGGAGGCGUUAUCUGCAGAAUAAGCACCGGCUAACUACGUGCCAGCAGCCGCGGUAAUUC
rnacentral:rRNA from 1 species